GACGAAGGGGGCUAGCGUUGUUCGGAAUUACUGGGCGUAAAGCGCGUGUAGGCGGUUGUUCAAGUCAGGUGUGAAAGCCUUGAGCUCAACUCAAGAAAUGCACUUGAUACUGGAUGACUAGAGGACCGGAGAGGAUAGUGGAAUUCCCAGUGUAGUGGUGAAAUACGUAGAGAUUGGGAAGAACACCAGUGGCGAAGGCGGCUAUCUGGACGGUUUCUGACGCUAAGACGCGAAAGCGUGGGGAGCGAACAGG
rnacentral:rRNA from 1 species